rnacentral:lncRNA from 1 species
UUUCAUGAAUGUGUCUCCCCCUCUGCUUAUGUGAGUUUUACCCGCCUUUUACUCUGCUUGCUUCUGACUCCCUAUGAGCCCUUACUUUUUCGGAGGGUCGGCGGGACAUGGGAGCCUCAGCUCAUGCAUCGGUUUACCGAAAUAACCUCUUCUCUCCCACUUCCUUCUAUUCAAAAGGCGAGCAGCCCUUAAACAAAAAGGCCUAAGAGGGUUCUUCUUUUUAUAUAUUACAUAAGCCCUAAAGUAGGUAGCCCCGAAAGCCGAACUCAGCAGAGUGGGUUUUGGCUUGCCCCUUUCUAUCUUAUUAGUCAAACCUAAACGUCCUUAUUUCAAAAAACAGCGCUAACACCCUAUCUAUAGUAAGGGGCCUUUUCAAUUCAAUCUCCCACUUGAUUUCGGACAGUCAAAUAUAAAGACUCUUUGUUAGCUCUUCGUGCCUCCUUGACUUCUCAAACUGAACUAAGACUGUCCAACUAGAGGUAUAGCCGGAAGGAGCUCUUUUUGUAUUGAAAGUGUUUU